AUUGAACGCUGGCGGUAUGCUUAACACAUGCAAGUCGAACGGUAACAGGCCUUCGAGCGCUGACGAGUGGCGGACGGGUGAGUAACGCGUAGGAAUCUGCCUCAUAGUGGGGGACAACGUGUGGAAACGCACGCUAAUACCGCAUACGCCCUACGGGGGAAAGCGGGGGACCUUCGGGCCUCGCGCUAUGAGAUGAGCCUGCGUUAGAGUAGCUAGUUGGUAGGGUAAAGGCCUACCAAGGCGACGAUCUAUAGCUGGUCUGAGAGGACGAUCAGCCACACUGGGACUGAGACACGGCCCAGACUCCUGCGGGAGGCAGCAGUGGGGAAUAUUGGACAAUGGGCGCAAGCCUGAUCCAGCAAUACCGCGUGUGUGAAGAAGGCCCUAGGGUUGUAAAGCACUUUCAAUAGGGAGGAAAACCUGUCGGUCAAUACCCGGCAGCUUGACAUUACCUAUACAAGAAGCACCGGCUAACUCCGUGCCAGCAGCCGCAGUAA
rnacentral:rRNA from 1 species